GACGAACGCUGGCGGCGUGCCUAACACAUGCAAGUCGAACGGGGUUGCGAGAGCUUGCUUUUGCAACUUAGUGGCGAACGGGUGAGUAACGCGUGAGGAACCUGCCUUCCAGUGGGGGACAACAGUUGGAAACGACUGCUAAUACCGCAUAAUGUAUUCGGGGGGCAUCCUCUGAACACCAAAGCUUUAUGUGCUGAGAGAUGGGCUCGCGUCCAAUUAGCUAGAUGGUGAGGUAACGGCUCACCAUGGCGACGAUUGGUAGCCGGACUGAGAGGUUGAACGGCCACAUUGGGACUGAGACACGGCCCAGACUCCUACGGGAGGCAGCAGUGGGGAAUAUUGCACAAUGGGGGAAACCCUGAUGCAGCGACGCCGCGUGAGCGAAGAAGGUUUUCGGAUCGUAAAGCUCUGUCUUCAGGGACGAUAAUGACGGUACCUGAGGAGGAAGCCACGGCUAACGUACGUGCCAGCAG
rnacentral:rRNA from 1 species